CAAAUUCCCAAUCCCUCCCACUCCCUCCUGCUCCCCCUUGGCAACCACACAUCUUGAACCUCUUCGGAAUGAAAGUAAAGAUUACGAGGCAGCUCCGCCGGCGUCAGUUUGUACCCUUCCGCGUUUUCGUGCUGUGGGAGAGGAUGGUCCAGGAAUUGUUUGCCCUGUUAUUUGUUUGGAUGCACAGUCGCAGCCUAGGCACUCACAGUAAACUGUGUUCUAGUUUGUUUCAGUGUUGGAAGGGGUGCUGUCGAAGCUGUCACGGUAUGACGAAGGCACUUUCUUCUCCUCCAUUCUGUCAUUCACUGUGAAAGCAGCUGCAAAAUAUGUUGAUGUUCCAGUAAGUACUUUUGAUUGGCUUUUGAAAACUAUAUAUAAUCCUUUCUUUAAAAAAUAAUUAUGGUGCGGCACGGGUUUUUUUGUUUUUUUGUUUUUUCAAAUCUUUAAACUAGUGUCAUUUCCUUGGGGAGCCGUUUAUUUUUCUUAAGCGAGCACUCAGCCUCAUGACAAGGCCUGGCAAGGUUAUUUCAGUGUCCGUUUUCCGUUUAACUUGGGGACUGUGACGGAGGUCAGCUCAUCCCGAGAACGGAUCAGCUCAGUGGCAGCUCUAGGAUGAGGUAGCAAAUGCCUCGCACCAUUUAUAGGAAAAUGUUCACUCUUCUGCCCUUUUCAGGAAAACCCUAACAGGUUUCUUACAGGAGUUAAAGUAACAGUAAAGACGAACGGGUGACACCAAAGUGUAUACAAAAGUGUUCCAAGUCCAUCACCAUUCACGUACUCUUCUGGGUUUUUCACAGAAUUCUUGGGAAAUCAUGCAUAGCCUGCACAUUUGUACAAAGAUUAAGAUACCAGGAGAGGAAAUGAUGAAACUUACUUAUCUACGAUGAAAAAAAUUCACAUCAUAAUCCACUAGGACAGCAUUUUUAAGUUGAUAGUCAUAACAAGUUAGUUUUUGCCUUAAAUUCUGUUAUCACAUAUAUAUGAUCAAGGCCUAAGAUGUUCUGUUUUUAACUAUAUAUCUUGGCACGUGUAUCAGUUUUCAAAGAAGUAGAGCACAGUUUGAAGGAACUUAAAAUUUAAAACGAAAUGAAAUACAAGUCAUCUCCUCUUGGAUUGAGGCUGGGCUCGAAUGGCAUCGCCUCUCUAGAUCAUCAUGAGUGUGAGUGGUUUGAGUGCCGG
rnacentral:lncRNA from 1 species